UACGGAAGGGGCAAGCGUUGUUCGGAAUCAUUGGGCGUAAAGGGCGCGUAGGUGGUUCUGUAUGUCUACCGUGAAAGCGUACGGCUCAACCGUAUUUUGUCGGUGGAAACUGCAGGACUUGAGGCUGGGAGGGGCUGGUGGAAUUCCCUGUGUAGCGGUGAAAUGCGUAGAGAUGGGGGAGAACACUCGUGGCGAAGGCGGCCAGCUAGACCAGUUCUGACACUGAGGCGCGAAAGCUAGGGGAGCAAACAGG
rnacentral:rRNA from 1 species